rnacentral:rRNA from 1 species
CGAUUGUAAUUCCAGCUCCAAUAGCGUAUAUUAAUGUUGUUGCAGUUAAAAAGCUCGUAGUUGAAUCUUGAAUGUUCAUCAAGUUUGGUUUACAUUUUUAUGUAUAACUACUUGAUUGCAUUCUUCCUACUAGUAAUUCGAUACUGUACUUAAUUGUAUGGUAUAGUGAUUCUUCGGAGUCAUCGUUAUAGUGGAGUUGCUCCUCAAAUAAUUGGAUUGGUGUAAAAGUCAUGAAGAUUAUUUAGGGGAAUCAGUAAAUCUAUUAUAAUGGAAUUCUAGUUCAUUUACUUUGAGAAAAUUAGAGUGUUUAAGGCAGCCUCUUGGGGCACUGAAUAUAUUAGCAUGGGAUAAUAAAAUAGGAUUCAUAUCAUAAAUUUGUUGGUUUGAAUGAUGUAAAUAAUGAUUAAUAGGGACAGUUGGGGGUAUUUAUAUUGGAUGGUUAGCGGUGAAAUGCAUGGAUCCAUUCAAGAUAAACUAAAGCGAAAGCAUUUACCAAGGAUGUUUUCAUUAAUCAAGAACGAAGGUUAAGGGAUCGAAGAUGAUUAGAUACCGUCGUAGUCUUAACAGUAAACUAUGCCGACUAGGGAUAUGAGAUGUUAUAAAACAUGCAAAUGUUUUAACUUCUUCUUGUGAACCUUGUGAGAAAUCAUAAGUUUUUGGGUUCUGGGGGGAGUAUGGUCGCAAGGCUGAAACUUAAAGGAAUUGACGGAAGGGCAC